rnacentral:rRNA from 1 species
UACAGAGGGUGCGAGCGUUAAUCGGAAUCACUGGGCGUAAAGCGUGCGUAGGCGGCUUUGCAAGUCAGGGGUGAAAGCCCUCGGCUCAACCGAGGAAUUGCCUUUGAAACUGCUUGGCUUGAGUACUGGAGAGGCAGGCGGAAUUCCGGGUGUAGGGGUGAAAUCCGUAGAUAUCCGGAGGAACACCAGUGGCGAAGGCGGCCUGCUGGACAGAUACUGACGCUGAGGUACGAAAGCGUGGGGAGCAAACAGG